GUUUGAUCAUGGCUCAGGAUGAACGCUGGCGGCAUGCCUAAUACAUGCAAGUCGAACGGAGUGAAGCCUUCGGGUUUCAUUCAGUGGCGAACGGGUGAGUAAUACGCAGGGAACCUGGCCAUGGCAGGGGGAUACACUCUGGAAACGGAGCAUAAGACCCCAUAGGCAGUAAGGCGGCAUCGCCUUACUGUUAAAGAAAGCUGAAAGGCUUUGGCGAUGGAUGGACCUGCGGUGCAUUAGCUUGUUGGUGAGGCAACGGCUUACCAAGGCGAUGAUGCAUAGCCGGCCUGAGAGGGCGGACGGCCACACUGGGACUGAGACACGGCCCAGACUCCGCGGGGAGGCAGCAGUAGGGAAUUUUCGUCAAUGGGCGCAAGCCUGAACGAGCAAUGCCGCGUGAGUGAGGAAGGUCUUCGGACUGUAAAGCUCUGUUGCCGGGGAAAAAGGGGAAAUGCAGGAAAUGGCAUUUCAUGGAUGGUACCCGGCCAGAAAGCCACGGCUAACUACGUGCCAGCAGCCGCGGUAAUACGUAGGUGGCGAGCGUUAUCCGGAAUGAUUGGGCGUAAAGGGUGCGCAGGCGGUCUGUUAAGUCUGAAGGCAAAGGGAUGAGCUCAACUCAUUUAAUGAUUCAGAAACUGGCAGACUUGAGGACAGGGGAGGGCGGUGGAACUCCAUGUGUAGCGGUAAAAUGCGCAGAGAUAUGGAAGAACACCAGUGGCGAAGGCGGCCGCCUGGCCUGUGACUGACGCUGAGGCACGAAAGCGUGGGGAGCAAAUAGGAUUAGAUACCCUAGUAGUCCACGCCGUAAACGAUGAGGAGCAGGUGUUGGGAGUGAAAUCUCAGUGCCGAAGCCAACGCAGUGACUCCUCCGCCUGGGGAGUAUGCACGCAAGUGUGAAACUCAAAGGAAUUGACGGGGGCCCGCACAAGCGGUGGAGUAUGUGGUUUAAUUCGAAGCAACGCGAAGAACCUUACCAGGUUUUGACAUCGGAUGCGAAGGCGCAGAGAUGCGCUGGAGGCUAUCAUCCAGACAGGUGGUGCAUGGUUGUCGUCAGCUCGUGUCGUGAGAUGUUCAGUUAAGUCUGGCAACGAGCGCAACCCCCGUGGUAUGUUACUAACGCAUUUGGGCGAGGACUCAUAUCAGACUGCCGGUGACAAACCGGAGGAAGGCGGGGAUGACGUCAAAUCAUCAUGCCCCUUAUGACCUGGGCUACACACGUACUACAAUGGCGUCUACAGAGGGAAGCGACCCUGAGAAGGGAAGCGAAACCGGAAAAGGGCGUCCCAGUUCGGAUUGAAGUCUGCAACCCGACUUCAUGAAGAUGGAAUCGCUAGUAAUCGCGGAUCAGCAUGCCGCGGUGAAUACGUUCCCGGGCCUUGUACACACCGCCCGUCAAACCAUGGAAGCCGGCAACGCCCGAAGCCGGUGGCAUAACCUUUUAGGAGUGAGCCGUCGAAGGCGGGGCCGAUGACUGGGGUUAAGUCGUAACAAGGUAUCC
rnacentral:rRNA from 1 species